rfam:Myotis brandtii contig319708, whole genome shotgun sequence.
GGUGGUUCUUGGAUGACGCACCCCGGAACCAGAAAGGAGGGAGCCUGAUUCCAGGGUGCAUCACCCGAGAACUGCC